AGCCAAAGUCGGACGCUUAACCGACUGAGCCACCCAGGCACCCCUAUUCCACAGUUAUUUACUGAGAGCCUGCUCAGUGCUAAAUGUGAAGCUGGCCAUUAUGAAGACGGGGCCAGACAGGCAGAUGAGACGAUGAAGAGCCUUGUGCACUGGCAGGAGUACAGGCAUUAUCCAGAGAGCCGUGGAGAAGCGUGGGAGGCCUUAACCACGAGAUGACAUGAUUUGACAUGUGUGUUGACUGUGGGGUGAGAGACGUGCUGGGGGUGACGCAGCCUGGAGGCAGAGGGGAUGGACAGAGGAGAAAUGAUAAGCCAGUGGCAGUUGGGGUGGAAAGGAGUUUAGGUUUUGAGUAAAUCCGGUCUAUUCACUGGCUGGACGAUGAAGGGCAAGUCUCGGAGGAGCAUCUGAGUUCUCUUUGGGGUAAUUGCCAGAUGGUGAUGUCAUUACCCAGAUCAGGGGCAAAAGAGGAAAGGUUGGCGAAGAUACUGAGUUCUGUCUUCAGCGGGUCUGACGAGUCUGGGGCAGCGGCCGGCAUUGCAGGAGUGAGGGCGAUGUGCCCCAGACUCGUGGGUUGGCUGGCUGGUGGCCUGGAGAGCGCCAGCGCUUUGGGAACCGGCUGGGGGCUCUCAGCCUGCAAACGAUGAGGAAAUCGUGGUGCGGAUGAGAUCACUCGGGAGGGGCGCAGCAACCCACAGUGACUGCGUCUGUGAACAGUGACUUCGUGUGUGCUAAGUGCCCCACGAAGCACUACACCCUUUCAGCCUCAGUGGGACCCUAUGAGAGACUGCUGUCAGUCGUCCCCAGUUUACAGAGGGGCCCUUGGAGGCAGAAAGCAGUUAAGUAGCUUGCCCGAAGCUGCACAGCAUGGAGGGGGAGUUGGGGCCAGGUGGAGUUGAGGGCACGAAGAGGGCAGGGCAGUACCCUGAUGAGGGCCGGGGCAGGGAGGAACAGGUACAAGUCAGGGGGCAGUCUAGCUCUCUUUCACCUGGGAACGCCCGCCCCCCAGGUUCCCGGUCUGACCGCUGACCCAUAACUGCUGAAUGUUGAUGCCCUGUCCUCCUUGCAGGGCAGGGAGACCAUGUCUCAAGAUCACCCUGUCUUAAGAGGGCACAGGAUGCGAACGCAAGGUGCACGGCCCACAGCCUGUGAGACCUCCUGCUUCAAACCUCCAGGAAGGGAAGAGAGCUCUGUGCCUGGCUUUCUUCAAGCCCAAACCAACCUCCCAUCUUGAGCAAUUAAACGCGAUCCAGUCGGGCUCCCAGGAACAAAUAAUUUAAGACCGAUCCCCGACCGAACAGGAUCUUCUACUUUUCCUUUAUGGAAACGAGUUGGCCGCGCUGAGAUUCUCUCGGUGUUCCCCAGGUCCGAGAGCUGAGUGGAUGGAGGAAGGCUAGUGGACAUCCACUGCAGCUGUCCAGGUUGGACACGGAAGGAAUUUGGGCAAGAGUAUGGUAUGGAGAUUGGAAAGAAGUGGAUGGAUCUGCGUGUCAACUGUAGGGUUUGGCGAUGGUUUGCUUACCAGCCAUUGGGAAGAGCAAAGGGUAAAGAAUGACCUGUGGACUCCGCCCCCACAGCCAGGUAAAUGGUGGCCAUUCCCUGAGCUGGCCAAAGGGGACGAGGAUCAGGAGGGGGGUCAUGGAUUCAGAUCACGUUUCAGGUGUCUGUUUGAGUUGUCUUUGAGGUGUCCUAAGGAGAGGACAGCCAGGCACCGAGGCGGAUGUGGAAUGCAGAAAGCUUCGGGCUGAGUCGUGCGUUCUGCGGGGUCCGUGCUGGGAGGUGGCUGGAUCUGAGUGCGACUGAGCUUUCCCAGACAAAGGGUCCAGCAGGAGAGGAGGGGCAUCUGGACUUGAGGCUUCAGGAGCUCUGGCAGCGAAUGGCUUGGGGAAAGUCAGCGAAGGAGACAGACGGUGAGACCGGACAGGCAGCCGUUGGACAGAGUAAGACAGGGCUUCCGGGGUCAGAAUACGGUGGGUGUGCUGAAGACUGCUGUGGGGUUAAAUUAGAUGAGGGAGGAGCAUUUUUGGCUGAAGCGGUUGGCAAUUUUUGAUCAUGCUAGGAUUUUGCAGAACAAGCCUUCCAGGUCAUAUCAGAAAAGACUCUUUCUUACAGAGGCAGAAUUAAAGGAGGCAAUCUCAGCCAAGCACUGGUACGCUCAAGGCACUCAAGUACAGAGGACGAUUUCUCUUAUUUUCUACAAGAAGGACGGUUUAUAAUUGGUACAUCCAAGGUUUUCACCCUCAGCACUGCGGACACUCGGGGCAGGAAGAUUCCCGGUCUUGGGGGCUGUCCUGUACACCAUAGGGUGUCUAGAAGCAUCCCUGGCCUCCACCCAUGAGACACCAGUAUAUCCUCCCUCCCCAGGAGUAACAAGAAAGACACGAUCCCCACCUGGGGAGCAAAAAUCUGCCAGCUGCCCCCCCCCCCCCACUUUGGGGCUUAUGCUUCACGACAAACUUUUGUUAAUAUUUAUGAAGAGACUUAAUGCCUUUUGGUGUCAAAAAAAAAAUCUAAAUGAACAUUGCUAGCAGGAUGGUACCCUGUCUCCCAAAGCGUAUAAUCUCCCUUUUGGGGUUACCACACACUGAUGGCAGUAUUUAUCUUUGACACCCUGUGCUAUUGAAAUUCUUGAUGGCUGAGAGCUGACUUCAGCAAACAAAUUUAACAGCCUAGUUAAAACCAAAUAGUUUUAUAGAGAGGCUGUAACUUCUUUUUUUUUUUUUUUUAAGUUAUAGCAGGACAGAUUAGGGAGGCAGACAAUAAAAGUCCUGUGGUUGCUCAUACACUGUAUGCUUCUGCAGAGCAGUAAUGCACUAACGCCAGCCUCAGAGGCGGCCCGGGAUGACUGCGUUUCUAGAAUUCAGGGCUCCUUUCUCUCAGCCCUCCUCUGUACCAGAACAAAGGGCAGUUUCAUUUCCUGCUAUACUGCGCAGUUUUAUGGGAGCAUUUGUUGAAUAAUUCUUUUUUUUUUUUACCCUAAACGAACUAGUACAAAAAUCAUGCUAAUCAGUUCCGAUGGGAUGCUGUGAGAAAGGGCAGACUUCUCAACAGGAUGGGGUGGCAUUGUGUUUCCAGGAGAAGCCAAUGAUGCUGGAACAGGAGCUCUAGACUGUCAAGUUUGGGCCACCCACAAAAAGAGACCCCUGAGCCCCUGGAAGAGGAAUCGCGGACUUUGUCUUACUUUUUCUCUGAACGAGUCAGAGACUUCUUUUGUUUCACAAGGUAUGCGUGUGAGCUAGUAGCUCAUGGCUCCAUUUCUGGGUCGAUUCAGCCUCAUCAUGUUACAAAUACGGAGCGUUCUGGAUGGAUAUCAUGGAGAAUCUACUAUAGGAUUAUGAUCCGGAAUCACAAAGGAAAUAAUGAA